UUUUCUUGAUUUUUAAUUCAGAAAAGAAAAGUGGCCAUGCAAUCGAUUGGUCCUCCCUGGAAAACGAAAAAGAAAAAACACCUCACUCCUCAAUAAUACUCUCUCUGCUCUCAAAGGCCACGCGACCUCCCAAUCUCCACUCACUCUUCAUAUGCCUCUCACUAAAAACAGAAAAAGAAAAUAAAGAAAAGAGGAAGGAGGACUGUUCCUUUUCCUCUUAAAAAACACUUCGUCUCUCACGUCGUACGAAAUCGACCAUCCGCCACCAA
rnacentral:lncRNA from 1 species